rnacentral:SRP_RNA from 1 species
GCCGGGAGCGGUGGCACAUGCCUUAGUCCCAGCUACUCAGGAGGCUGAGGUGGGAGGAUCGCUUGAGCCCAGGAGUUCUGGGCUGUAAUCUAUGCUGAUCCGGUGUCCGCACUAGGUUCAGCAUCAAUAUGGUGACCUCCAGGGAGUGGGAGACCACCAAGUUGCCUAAGGAGGGGUAAACCGGCCCAGGUCGGAAACGGAGCAGGUCAAAACUCCGGUGCUGAUCAGUAGUGGGAUCACGCCUGUGAAUAGCCACUGCACUCCAGCCUGGGCAACAUAGUGAGACCCCGUCUCA